AUUGAACGCUGGCGGCAUGCCUUACACAUGCAAGUCGAACGGCAGCACGGGGGCGAACCCUCGUGGCGAGUGGCGAACGGGUGAGUAAUACAUCGGAACGUGUCCUCUUGUGGGGGAGUAACCAGUCGAAAGAUUGGCUAAUACCGCAUGAGAUCGCAAGAUGAAAGCGGGGGACCGCAAGGCCUCGCGCGAGAGGAGCGGCCGAUGUCGGAUUAGCUAGGNGGUUAGGGGUAAAGCCUACCAAGGCGACGAUCCGUAGCUGGUCUGAGAGGACGACCAGCCACACUGGGACUGAGACACGGCCCAGACUCCGUACGGGAGCAGCAGUGGGGAAUUUUGGACAAUGGGCGCAAGCCUGAUCCAGCCAUGCCGCGUGUGUGAAGAAGGCC
rnacentral:rRNA from 1 species